rnacentral:lncRNA from 1 species
GAUCCUCAGAGGACUCCAGGUUAGGGCAGAUCAAGGAGAAAGAAACAUGGUCAGAAAUACAAAAUGGGAACACAAGGACAACAGACUCCUCCAAAGAGACAUUCCCUGGAAAGCUGAGGCAAAAACAUGGUACUUUGGAGACAGAUAAUAGUUUCUGUUUACAGGUCUUACAGGAGCAAACUACUCCAUAGGAUUCUGCUCAUGAACACAAUUCCCAAGAACCAGAAAAAGAGCAUGUGGUCAAUACAGGGAGCAGCCAUUAUCCAUGUGAAAAAUGUGGGAAAGUGUUUAGGAAUAAUUGGGCCUUUGUAUGGCAUCAGCAGGUUCAUGCUGGAAUAAAGCUCUCUGAAUGUAAGAAGUGUGGGAAGAUCUGUCGGUACAUGGCCGACUUUAUUCAGCAUAUGAGGAUUCAUAUGAGGGAGAAACCACACCAGUGCAUGGAGUGCGGGAAGGCCUUCAAACGCAGCUCUCACCUCACUGAGCACCAGCAGAUACACACUGGUGACAAACCCUAUGAGUGCAUCGAAUGAGGGAGAGCCUUCUCCCAUCGCUCCACAUUCAUCCAGCACAAGAUGACCCACUCGGCAGAAAAGCCUUUCCUCUGCAAAGACUGUGGGAAAGCUUUUUUCUUUUCCUUUUUUUUUUUUCGGAGCUGGGGACUGAACCCAGGGCCUUGCGCUUGCUAGGCAAGUGCUCUACCACUGAGCUAAAUCCCCAACCCAUGUGGGAAAGCUUUUUACUACAGCUCUUCCUUUGCACAGCAUACGAGGAUUCACACUGGGAAGCAGCUGUAUGAGUGCAGCCAGUGUAGUAAGGCCUUUACACACUCCUCCACUUUUGUGAAACAUAAGAGACCCACACUGGGGAGAAGCCCUACGUGUGCAAGGACUGUGGCAAGGCCUUCAUGCACCACUCCACGUUUCUCCACCACAACAUGACUCACACU